GACGAACGCUGGCGGCGUGCCUAAUACAUGCAAGUAGAACGCUGAAGGAGGAGCUUGCUCUUCUGGAUGAGAUGCGAACGGGUGAGUAACGCGUAGGUAACCUGCCUGGUAGCGGGGGAUAACUAUUGGAAACGAUAGCUAAUACCGCAUAAGAGUAGAUGUUGCAUGACAUUUACUUAAAAGGUGCAAUUGCAUCACUACCAGAUGGACCUGCGUUGUAUUAGCUAGUUGGUGGGGUAACGGCUUACCAAGGCGACGAUACAUAGCCGACCUGAGAGGGUGAUCGGCCACACUGGGACUGAGACACGGCCCAGACUCCUACGGGAGGCAGCAGUAGGGAAUCUUCGGCAAUGGACGGAAGUCUGACCGAGCAACGCCGCGUGAGUGAAGAAGGUUUUCGGAUCGUAAAGCUCUGUUGUAAGAGAAGAACGAGUGUGAGAGUGGAAAGUUCACACUGUGACGGUAUCUUACCAGAAAGGGACGGCUAACUACGUG
rnacentral:rRNA from 1 species